rfam:Triticum aestivum genome assembly, contig: Triticum_aestivum_CS42_TGACv1_scaffold_375207_5AL
UUUGUACUCCCUUCGUUCUAAAUUACUUGUCUUGGAUUUAUCUAGAUACAUUAGUGCUAAAUACUUCUGUAUCUAGACAAAUUUAAGACAAGUAAUUCGGAACGGAGGAAGUAUAUC